AUUGAACGCUAGCGGGAUGCUUUACACAUGCAAGUCGAACGAGUGGCGGACGGGUGAGUAAUAUAUCGGAACGUGCCCAGUAGCGGGGGAUAACUACUGGAAAGAGUGGAUAAUACAGCAUACGAUUGGCGCGGGCGAUAUGGGAUUAGCCAGUUGGUGGGGUAAAGGCUAACAAAGGCAACGAUACGUCGCUGAUUUGAGAGGACGACCAGCCCCACUGGGACUGAGACACGGCCCAGACUCCUACGGGAGGCAGCAGUGGGGAAUUUUGGACAAUGGGGGAAACCCUGAUCCAGCCAUCCCGCGUGUAUGAGAAGGCCUUCGGGUUGUAAAGUACUUUUGGCAGAGAAGCGGUAUCUGCAGAAUAAGCACCGGCUAACUACGUGCCAGCAGCCGCGGUAAUAC
rnacentral:rRNA from 1 species